CGCCGAAGUCGUGUCAUUGCGAUAUGUACCCCCAACGGGGAUCGUGAUGGGUAGGGGAGCGUCGUCUGCCGGGUGAAGCAGCCGUGUAAGCGAGUUGUGGACGGUUGACGAGUGAGAAUGCAGGCAUGAGUAGCGAUUCACACGUGAGAAACGUGUGCGCCGAUUGACUAAGGGUUCCUGGGUCAAGCUGAUCUGCCCAGGGUAAGUCGGGACCUAAGGCGAGGCCGACAGGCGUAGUCGAUGGAUAACCGGUUGAUAUUCCGGUACCCGCUGUGGAGCGUCAAACAUCGAAUCCAGUGAUGCUAAGCCCGUGAAGCCGCCCGCUUUCAGCUUUGCUGUUGGUGGGAGUGGUGGAGCCGGUGACCCGAGCUGGUAGUAGGUGAGUGAUGGGGUGACGCAGGAAGGUAGUCCAUCCCGGGCGGUGGUUGUCCCGGGGUAAGGGUGUAGGACGUCAGGUAGGUAAAUCCGCCUGGCAUGUGUCUGAGACCUGAUGCCGAGCCGAUUGUGGUGAAGUGGAUGAUCCUAUGCUGUCGAGAAAAGCCUCUAGCGAGUUUCAUGGCGGCCCGUACCCUAAACCGACUCAGGUGGUCAGGUAGAGAAUACCGAGGCGUUCGGGUGAACUAUGGUUAAGGAACUCGGCAAAAUGCCCCCGUAACUUCGGGAGAAGGGGGGCCACACCUGGUGAUGGGUUUUGCACCUUGAGCUGGGGGUGGCCGCAGAGACCAGCGAGAAGCGACUGUUUACUAAAAACACAGGUCCGUGCGAAGCCGUAAGGCGAUGUAUACGGACUGACGCCUGCCCGGUGCUGGAACGUUAAGGGGACCGGUUAGCUCACUUUCGGGUGGGCGAAGCUGAGAACUUAAGCGCCAGUAAACGGCGGUGGUAACUAUAACCAUCCUAAGGUAGCGAAUUCCUUGUCGGGUAAGUUCCGACCUGCACGAAUGGCGUAACGACUUCUCGACUGUCUCAACCA
rnacentral:rRNA from 1 species